GUGCUUGCUUCAGAAGCACAUAUACUAAAACUGAAAUGAUAGAGAUUACCACGGCCCCUGCGCAAGGAUGACACACAAAUUUCUGAAGCAUUCCAUAUUAAA
rnacentral:snRNA from 1 species